rnacentral:rRNA from 1 species
ACGCUGGCGGCGUGCCUAACACAUGCAAGUGAACGGAGAUACGCGCUGAAUGACGAAGCUUGCUUUUUGAAUUCUUGUGUAUCUUAGUGGCGACGGGUGAGUAACGCGUGAGCAACCUGCCUUUCAGAGGGGGAUAACGUUUGGAAACGAACGCUAAUACCGCAUGAGACUACGGUACUACAUGGUACAGUGGCCAAAGGAGCAAUCCGCUGAAAGAUGGGCUCGCGUCCGAUUAGAUAGUUGGCGGGGUAACGGCCCACCAAGUCGACGAUCGGUAGCCGGACUGAGAGGUUGAACGGCCACAUUGGGACUGAGACAUGGCCCAGACUCCUACGGGAGGCAGCAGUGAGGGAUAUUGGUCAAUGGGGGAAACCCUGAACCAGCAACGCCGCGUGAGGGAAGACGGUUUUCGGAUUGUAAACCUCUGUCCUCUGUGAAGAUAAUGACGGUAGCAGAGGAGGAAGCUCCGGCUAACUACGUG